GGUGUUCAGUAAAUGUUUGUGGAAUGAAUAAAGGCAUAUCCAAACUCUAAGGAGUCAAGAAGCCAUGACAGAGGUAAAGAGGGUCCACUGGACCUCCAAAAUCCAAGAGGUUUCAAGCCAAGAAGAUACAAAGAUAGAUCAUAGUAACAGCUUUGCAGGAAAUCUAUGAAUAGGGGGUACAGAAAUCACAUGAGCCAUCACUUUGAAUAACAAGCUUGGACACCAGACCUCAAAAGAAAAUAAGAAUUCGGGGACACACAUGCGCACAGACGCUCACACAGCAUUUUUCAACACAAAGGUAUAAAGAUGAGAAAACUCAGCUUUGGCCAAGUAAAUGGUUUCAUCAAGGAUUCCCAGCUGCUGACUGCAGUACAAAGAACCUGCAACCACCAUAUGAACAAGCUCAA